CAGCAGCCACGGGAAUACAGAGGGUGCGAGCGUUAAUCGGAUUUACUGGGCGUAAAGCGUGCGUAGGCGGCUAAUUGAGUCGGAUGUGAAAUCCCCGAGCUUAACUUGGGAAUUGCAUUCGAUACUGGUUAGCUAGAGUGUGGGAGAGGAUGGUAGAAUUCCAGGUGUAGCGGUGAAAUGUGUAGAGAUCUGGAGGAAUACCGAUGGCGAAGGCAGCCAUCUGGCCUAACACUGACGCUGAGGUACGAAAGCAUGGGGAGCAAACAGGAUUAGAUACCCCCGUAGUCCCUGUCUCUUAUAC
rnacentral:rRNA from 1 species